rnacentral:lncRNA from 1 species
AAACGAAAUGGGAUAGACGGGUAAAGGGAGAAUCUGCCGCCGGUGAUGUCGCAAACGAGGGCAGUACACAGAAAACAAAGGACUUCAUGCGCUAUCACCAGAGAGCUGCUUCAGAUACCGCACCACCGUCAACUUUCAGAUGCAACCAAGUGUAAAGGCCAAAAUGAUAUAACCAGAAAUACUUCCUUCCGAACAUAUAGCAGACUCACAUUUCCCAACUGUUUGAUAACAAUGCCAGCCAACACUUUUCUAGUCGAUCUUUACGGAUGAGAAGAGGUAAUGAACAAAGUAGAAAGACAUGAGAAAGCCAAUGGUGCCAGUUGACAACAUGAUUGCAGUUGCCAUGAUCAAUGAAUAACCGAGGUAAAGGAUAGCCGACACAGGCCCACUCAAACUCUGCAGGUCAAAUACCAGGUAAUUGAUGGAGUACAGGAACACGUAAAAGGAAACUGAACCUGAGGCAAAGAAAGCCUUCCACCACCACCUCCAAUCCUCCACACAAAGAUGCAUGUAUGUGAGAACUACUGAAACUUCAGCACAAACAAUAACCAACAACGUAAGCACUAUAAAAAGGAAACCGAAGACAUAAUAAAACCUUCCAAGCCAGAUGCUAGAAAGGAUGAAGAAGAGUUCAAUGAAAAGGGUUCCAAACGGAAGUGUCCCAGCACCAAGAACAAGAAGCCAUGAUGGAUAUUUGCGCGCAGGAAUCUCCCUUGGAAUCUGGUUGGUUCUUACAGGAUAUGAAAUUGGCUCAGCUCGUGUGCCUAAGAAUCCUCCAAGAAGGGUGAGAGGCACGGAAAUGCAGAACCAGAGGGAGAUCAGUAUAAAAUACAAAGAAAUGGGAAGGGCACCAGUACUCUUGCUGCCCCAUAGAAUGAAAUUCAGUAUUGUAAGAAUAACAAAGACGAUUCCAGGAAAGAAGCACGCCACAAACCAGGAAACCGAUCUCCACCCUUCGGAAGUUCCCUUUAUGGUUCUCCACAUACGGACAGCAACAUAACCAGCAAUAAUCCCAAGGAAAAGAUAUAGAAUAAUCAUUCCGGUCAGUAGCAUUCCUCGUGAAGCUGGUGACAUGAAACCAAAUGCUGCAAAGAUGAUUGUGACAACUGCCAUCCCUGUAAUCUGAACCCCAUCUCCAACCAUCACGCAAAGAAGCUUGGGAGAAUCUGGUUCUCUGAACACAUCUCCCACAACAAGCUUCCACCCAGAGAGCUCUUCAUUCAUUUGAGCUUGAGAUUCUUUGUCCAGUUCUUCGUAUCUUGUUAAAUCCCUCCUCACAGUCCUUAGGAAUAUGACAAAGACUAUACCAGCGAGGAAAAGGAUCACCAUUAAUGAAUUCAGGAUAGAGAACCAGUGCACACGGGCACCCUCCAUCUUCAAAUAAGCAUCCCACCUUGAUGGCCAUCUUAUAUCACUUUUCACAAACUCAACCUCAUAAGUAAAUGAUACUUUCUCUUGCUCCCUUAUUAUUUGAGACUUUUCAACCUCUGAGGGACAAUUUACAGGUUGGAUUUUUUCAUACAUGGCUUUUUUCUUCAUGGCCUCUGGGUCAUAUUUAAUGCUGCAAGGGGAAACCUCAAAGCCAACAAUCUCAAACCCAGAUGCCUUCUUCUUAUCAGCUUCUGAAAUGACACCCAUGCCUUCUUCCCCAGUCCCGAUUAUCUGAACACCACUCCCUUCAUACUCAUGAAUCAAAACAGUGAACUUGAGGUGAUUGAUGAUGUAAUCUUCUUUACCGUUGGGUGGUGUGUACCCAACAGGAAACCCAGUCCACUGAAUCUUAACCCCAUUUUGAUAAGCAUACCUCAUCGCAGGCAAAUUAUCAAGGAUCAUAUUGACCUGAUACAGAUCACGGGUCCUCUGUUUUAGCAGCUUUACGUCGUGCUCAGUCAAGGCGGGUGUGGUACACAGGUAAAGAGUCUCAUUCACAGUCAUAUUGAAGCGGUACGCAGAGGUUUCGAUCUCAUCUCCCAUAAGGAGUUCCCCGAGAUUCUCAGCGCUUUUCUUGAUACCUUCAGGGGGUUUGCAAUAAGGGAGACUGUAGUAGCUGAAGGGCAGCUCAGUCUCUAUAGAAGUCAAGGAGUUAACUUUGGUAAUGAUUUGUUGCCCUUUCGAAUAUGUAUGCAUGUAGCUUCCGGGGAGAUAAAACCCAUUACAGGUGUGCACAAAUACAAUCAAAACAAGCAGAGCCCAUUUGAUUGAGGGCAUUCCCGGAAUCGAUGUCGCCAUCGGAAUCGAAAAGAAAACAACACUCACCACAAGUUGGAGUGAGCAGUGGAUCUAAGCUAGCUCUUACAGUUGCAUCCACCAAUUAAUCUACACAAAUUUCAAACAGAAAACAUACUAAUAUUAGCCAAAAUAACACAAAGACUGAAAAUUUAACAAAAAAUACAAAAUUAGGCAUUCGGGUUAACAAAUUUGAUCAAGAACUUGUUAAUUGUUCAAUUUCUAUACUUCAACCGCAUCAGAUCCACUAAUUAACAGCGCAUAAACAUUCAAAUACUCACUCAAUCAUCCAAUUAGCAAAACGAUAACAAAAAGCAUGCCCAGAUCCAAAACUUGGAAUUACAAAGUAAAUUGAAAUCAUGCGUUUCAAAAAUACAACAGAUCCAUGAAAAUUUUGAGAAAUUGAGAACGAACCGUGACAGGUCCGGAACCGAAACGGAUGCUGAGCGGCUGUGGUGCGCAAGAGAGAAGCAGAAUUUCGGCGUCCCCUUUCGCUUAAUAUUAUGCUGCUGCCAAUAGACCGAACAGGCUCGGAGGGUUGACGGAACUAACUACUUUGCUUUCUUCGGAAUAAACGGUGGGAACGGCGAUGAGAAUUAUAUUCUCUACGCGCUAAUAUGGUGGGCCCCAGCCCACUGCGGAAGCAAAGUUAGAUUGGAUCUUGGAUGGGCGGGUUCAUUGUUUUUUCCUUCCUCCAAAUUUAUUUAUUUUAUUUUUUUUGAAAUAUGCACAAAUCAAUUUUAAUCGUUCAGGACUUGUAACUGAGCAGCGUGUUAAGGUGAUUAAUUGCGGGAUAAAUGAGAUAAGCGGAUGAGUGAUUUAUUAUCUUCACAUGCUGAUUACAAAUUAAGUACACUUUAUGCUUUCAGGUUAGUAGAACAUGUCAAACUCUCAACAGAAGGUAACUGAUCUUGUGAAAUCAUAAAUAGAUUACAAUUAAAUUUGGCAUAUCAUGUAAAGUGUAAAACUUCUCAAUAUUUUUAAUUAAAAUUAAAGGAUUUUGAUAUCUUCUUUGAAAAUGCUCAUUACUUGAUCGGAAAACUUAUAAUUAGUUAUUAACUUUUUAUCAAAAUUUUAAGCGUGACCAUAUAAGUAAUGACAUUCUAUGUUUUCAAAAAAAAAAAAGUAAUGACAUUCCCUAUUCAAGAUUAAAACCUUCUUGUGUGCAUGUGAUAAUUAUUUUUUGAACAAGCUGCAAUUACAACGACGAUCCUCUAUGUAUCUUGCUGGACAUGUAGUCGUAAUACAUGUAAUGUGAUUUAGCUACUUUCAACUCUUUAGUAUCCUGUUAACCAUCGUCAUAAUUGUAUUUGCAGCUUCUUUUCUGACUUGAGCAACUUAGCACCUAACCCUCUUUUUUUGCUCAGGAGAGGGGACAAUUGAGAACAAAGUGGCGAAUGGGUGUGUAAUGCGUGAGAAUCUGCAUAUUAUGACGUUGUGGCAAGUCAAAAUAGUGCGCCAACUCUUUGCAUCCAAAUUUGAAUUCUUAUCGCAUAAAUUAAAAUAAUUUACAAUAAAUAUCGCCUUGUCAAAAAUAAAAAUAUAAAAUGAAUGUGAUUUACGGCUUUUUUCCGUUCGAUCAUUCUUAUUCUUUAUGAAACUGCAUUGUUAUCAUCAUUAUUAUAUGCUUGUUAUAGUGGUGGUUAGCAAUUUUAGAAGUAAAACCCUCAUCAAAGUUGUGGUUGUAAAACUUUAAUCUUUAAAAAUAUCGUUUAAUCUAUACCAUUAGGGUGUGAUUAUGUAGCAAUAUUGCCAAUAACGUUGCAAUCACUGUAUUUGGUAGGAACGUAUAAACAUGGAUCUGCUUUUUCUACAUCUAAAACACCUUUGGAAGUGAAGAUUAGAAACUUAAACUUUAAGCCAAGAUGCGUUGCAUACGACCUUUAUGUCAUUUCCAAUACUAUCUUUAGCUAACUCACGAUGCCAAUUAUGUUUUUGUCUUUAUCUCGACCGGUUCAUGAGAACAUGUUCACGUGUUUAGUUCAAGAGAAUGACUUACAUAGAACGAGUUUAUCGUCGCGUGACAUUCUUUUUCAAUAAUACAAUGUCAUGUGUUAAAAAGUUACACAUAUAAUUUUUUAUUGGAACGGAACACGCUACAAUAGCGAUGGAAGCGUUCCGUUUAAGUUGUUCUCCUAGCUCAAUUACGGAGUGCAAGGCUCUUAACCUUGUAGUAGUGGUUUGUGCUAAUUAGGUAGGAGUUUUGGUUACUUUAUAAAUACGAGAUUAUGUGUUAAUAAAUUCGAACGUGAAUAAGCAACGGAAGUUUGAAUAAACGUUUUAAAUUAAACAAAGUUCUGAAACUUACAACAAAUAGAAAUCUACAAAUUACAUACAUCAAAAUCUCUUAAAUUCCCCAUUGAAUACACCCCUCUUAAGACCAUCUCCAACUCAUGAGAUAAAGCUUAAAAUAUAAGCUUUAAACCCCCCCCCCAAGCCAUCUCCAACUAUGGGCUAAAGUAAGCGUUGGGGAGAAAAUAUAUCUCUAGGCUAGAUUCCCUCAGGAUUUAAGUCUUAUUUAAAUUAUUCUGGAUCUACCAAACUAUCAUAUUUCAAACUUUUUUUUUUGUUUUUCACUUAUAAUUUAACUGCUAUGAUUAGAUGAGAUCAAAUCUAAUGGUAAAAAAAAGAUUUGACGGUCCAAAAUUAAAUCAAACGUCUAAAAUAAUUUAAGAAAUUACUUAUCAAUACUUAUAAAUACUUUAUAAAUACUUAUGUAUUUGUAUGAUUUUUAAUUACAUAUUAAUUUUUUUUUCAUAGAGUUUAUUUUUUGUUGUUAAGACUUUAUUGAAAUUACUAAAACAUCAUCAACUAACGGGUGCUAACGGAUUGACCCAAAAUGACCUAUUAUUUAACGGGUUCACCCGUUAGUGACCCGACCCGUUAAGCAUCCAUUUAAAUACUAAUAUUAACAGGUCGGGUUAGGUCGGGUUAACGGGUCGGGUCCAAAAUGCCAGAUCUAUUGAUAAGGAAGGAGGUUGGUGUUGAUGCGGAGGUGGAAAGCAUAGCGCAUGACAUUUGGGCUAUUACAUGAUGUGGGGACUGUUUCAUUCGAGUUUGUUCGUCGAGAAGGCAACCAAGCGGUACAUUCUGUUGCAGCAUUUAUUCAGAAAACUAGAGGUUCUUUUGGAUGGGAUUGUAUUGGUCUCGAGUUCCUUUUUAACAUCUUGGCUGAAGAUGUAAACAUUUCAAUUGGGAUUUAACAUAAAAUCUAUCUUUUAUGGAAAAAAAAAAGAAAAAAAAAUUCAGUAUUUUUCCAUUGUAACUUGGAAAUGUAAAAACAUCCUUGUGUUUUAUUUAUCCACAAUGACACAAAGGAGAGCUGCUUAAGACACCGCAACACCACCAACUUUCAGAUGCAACCAAGUGUAAAGACAAAAAAGACAACCUUCCUAACAUAUAGCAGACUCACAUUUCCCAGCUGCUUGAUAACAAUGUCAGCCAACACUUUUAUAGUUGAUCCUUACGGAUGAGCAGAGGUAACGAACAAAGUAGAAAGACAUGAGAAAGCCAAUGGUGCCAGUUGACAGCAUGAUUGCAGUUGCCAUGAUCAAUGAAUAACCGAGGUAAAGGAUAACCGAUGCAAGCCCACCCAAACCCUGCAGGUCAAAUACCAGGUAAUUGAUGGAGUACAGGAACACGUAAAAGGAAGCUGAACCUGAGGCAAAGAAAGCCUUCCACCACCACCUCCAAUCCCCCACACAAAGAUGCAUGUAUGUGAUAACUACUGAAACUUCAGCACAAACGAUAACCA